GCAAGAUACUAUAUAAGAUGCAAAAACUGAAUAAUAUCCCUGCCCUCAUGGAUCAUCCAAUCUAGCUGGAAAUACAGAACACUUUCACCUUGGACUCAAGAGAUGUAGUCUUUAUGAAAUACUGUGCUUAGCUUCUAAAGAGCAUGGAGACAAAGCCAUUAAGAGAAGAAAACAUUUCUGCAAGAGAAAAAUAAACAGCAUAGAAUGAAAGACUUGGAUGACAAGAGUGUAUUGAGGAAACUUCAGGUGCCGGUAACACAUUAAGAUGGAGAUGGUGAAUAUACAAUUAGAAGUACAGAUCUAUAUAGCUCAGUAGAAAGAUUAUAGCUAGAGGUAAAAAUCGGAGGAACCCAAUGUU
rnacentral:lncRNA from 1 species